rnacentral:lncRNA from 1 species
CUGAUACCAACUUGUAACAUCCAUAAAAUUCGUAAUAAUUUAAAACAUUUUUAAGCAUUGAAAAAAAAUUAUUUGUACAAAAUAUUUUCAAAAUAGUUUCAUAUAAGAGUAUCCUAGAAAUCAAAUUAUAAAAAUGUGAGGAGGUGCACAAUCACGCCUUCGCCUUCCCGCGAUCAUCCGAAGUACCUGAUCAAAUUCCAAAACUCUAAGCCCGAAGCUUAGUGAGUUCCCCCAGAAUACCAAUGCCAUGCAAACCAUAACAAUAUCAUAACAAACAACAUGGAUAUAGAGUCUGCAGUAUGACUGGAAGGGCCUCACGGGCCUUCAGUCUAUCUGGCCCACUCUCAAAACCUUCAGCAUGUAUGGUCCGCCCUACCGGGCCUUCAUCAUGUGUAGACCAUUCUUUGGGCCUUUGGCCUAACUGAUAUACCCCAUUGGGACUGCAGUUUAGCAAGCCACCUGGGGUAUGUUAGCAUUCAUCACAAAGCAGGUCCGCCUCAACCCAUCCCCAAAAAUAUUAUAUAUAUAUAUAUAUAUAUANACACACACACAUAUAUAUAUAUAUAUAUAUAUAUAUAUCAAACGCUAGCUAGCAUGUACAAACAGUCAAAUCGAUCUAACAGAUCACUAAUCAUAGCAUCAUCCUAUAUACCAGGAUACCGAACUAGCAGGUCACUGACAUAACAUCGUACUAUAUACUAGGAUACCAACCUAACAGGUCACUAAGCAUAUCAUCAUGCAAUAACCAGGAUAACAAUCUAAAAAGGGUAGGCAUUGGUGCCUUCGACCUUGUUAGUAUAGUGAUGACAACUCACCUCACAAUUUCGAACGGAACUGAAAAGAUCAAACUCCCAAAACACAACUCCAAACACUAAUACCUACAAACACCAUUUAUCCAAUUCCAUAAAUUCCCAAAUUACCAAAUACCCUCAGAAAUCAAACUUGGUCAACCCUUGGUCAAAGUCAAAGUCAACAGUCAAGGUCAAGAGUCCAUAUUGACCCAACUCGUUGAGUUCAGCUUACAGACUCGUCGAGUUCCUUCAAAACUCAAAAAGUCAUGAAAACCCUCGUCAACUCGCCGAGUUACCAAAUAACUUGUCGGUUCCAUGCAACAUCCAGAAUAUCAGGAAAACCCCUAACCAACUCGUCUAGUCAUCUCGCUAAAUUACCGAGUUCAUGCAGAAUCCAAAAAGCGGGAAACCCUCAUCCAACGUGUCAAGUGGACUAUGCAACUCGUCGAGUUCCUUUAGUCCUUGUCUCAUUCAGACACUUUUAAGCAAAACCAAGGCUCUAAACUGUAGAUUUAGACUCCUAGGGUGUAGUUACCACGUUAAGUUGCUCACUUUACGAGUAUGCAAGGCUUUAAGAAGCUAAAACACUCAAAACUAGCUUUAGAAAGACGUUUAGGGCAUGGAGAAGGGCCAAAGCUUCAUAAAGCUUGAGGCAUUAUAUCCAAGAGGCCUAGAGGAGUCCAGAUCUGAAGUAACAACUUCAAAUCGUUCUCAAAACCAUAAUUGCUUUAAGAAUAAGUCAGAAAUGACCCUAAAGUCUUGAAUAAAGAGAUCUAACACGAAAAUGAUCAAGAUAAUGACUUUUUACCUUCAAAUCAAUGCCAAAACGAUGUAGAUGUUGGAUCUACAAGCCCCUUCUUGUUCCAACCUUCUAAAUCUUCAAGUCUCUUAAAGAAAUGCACCAAACAAAAACUUUUAGCCUCACGCACACUCAAAAUAGGGGUUAGCUUGAUUAGGGUUUGCUUCUCGACAUGAAAAGGUGGUAAGGAGGCUGGAAGGAGGACUUAAGAUCCUUUGAAUAGAGUGCAAACCCUAAAAAUUAGGGUUUUCAUGCACAACCUCUACUCAUCGAGUUGGGUCCUCCAACUCGUCGAGUAGGUUCCAUAAACCACGCGACCUGAUCAGUCUCUACAUGACGAGUUGGGGCACCAACUUGGUGAGUAGGUCUAUAUUUAAGAAUAUAAAAAGAUUUAAAGUUUUAUACCUGAGAGUCGGGGUGUUACUUAACCUAUCACAACCGGUCGAGCUUUGAAUGUAUGUAUAUUCCCAUUUAUGUCAGUCUUUUUCUUAAACACCCAAUUUUCACCCAACGGUUCUAAGGGUAGGCGUAAGAUAAAAAAAUUCCAAACUUGGUUAUUGUACAUGGAUUGAAUCUCGUUCUCUAUUGCCUCUUUCCACUUUGAAGCCCCUUGGAUCUCCAUGGCUUCCUUAUAGAUGUGCGGAUCAUUAUCACCUAACAUAUUGUUAUCAUCCUCAAUAAUAUGGAAACUAUAAAACUCAGGCUGACACACUCACUAUCAGAUCUACGAGUUGGAGGUGGAAGGAUGUUAGAUUCCUCAACAGGUUCUUCUACCUCUUGGUUAGGGUUAGUGCCAACUUCAGGUUCUUUAAUUGUUGACUCUUGAAUAUCAUCAAGAUUAAUAUUUCUCCCACUAGCUCCUUGAGAUAUUAGCUCCCUCUCUCGAAAGACUCCCCUUCGAGCAACAAAGACUUUUUUUCUCAUUACGCUUGUAAAACAAGUAUCAGAAUGAGUCUUUAGGACAGCCAAUGAAGUAACACCUUUCAGAUAUGUGUUCAGUUUUGUCGAGUGCUUCGUGACAAACAAAAACUUCACAACAUCGUACCUUGAUUCAUGCAAGAUAUGGACGAGUCCCUUUCCAUAUCUUUAAUGGUGUUUUAGAUACCUUAUUAGUUGGUACAAGGUUUAGAAUGUAGGCGACUGUUUAUAGGGCAUAACCUUAAACACUUAUUGGAAUAAUAGCACAAGUCAUCAUAGAUCAUACCAUGUCUAACAAAGUUCAAUUUAUCCUCUUAGACACACCGUUGCACUAUGGUCUUCAUGGCGUAGCCAGUUGUGAAACUAUUCCAUAGCUUCUAAGAUGUGUUGGAUUAAGGUGUCUAAGCUCAUAACUAAGUUGGUAUGUUCUUAUAACUAGAAGCAAAGUCCUAUUGGGGUUGCCCUCAUAACCAGGAAUAGCUAAAAAUGAUAUCAGGAGAGAGAGGAAAUGAUUUGUAAAUAUACUAUAUGAUCAAUAUGUUAAUUAGAAAUAUAAAAUUGAUUUGUUAAUUUAUUCUGCGAUUAAUGAAUUAAUAUGAGAUCAAUAGUUAAAUAGCUGAUUUGUUAAUUUAUAUGGUUAAUAAAUUAAUAUGAAAUUAAUAAGAAUUAGGUAAUUAUGAACCAGAAUUAGUCUAGAAUUAAUUUGAGAUUAAUUGGAAUUAAUUAAAUGUGUAAGGGCUGAAUUGUAGCUUUUCAUUGUUGAGCAAGAAAGGCAAUUAUAGAUGGUUCUAUACGGCAGACGGUUUUUAUGGAGCAUUUAGGGUUUCCAAAAGCCUCUUAGAGUCGAUAAGGAUAACUACAUUAAUUAGAUAAAAUCUGAAUAUUUUAUUAUUUAAACCAGGAUUUACCAUGGAGACCCCUUAGCUAUAAAUACCUUCCCUUGGGCAUCAAAUUUCAAGGUUCUCACCUCCUAAAGGUUUAAACACGAAAUUCCUCCUCCCCCUCUCUCUCUCCUCUUCGUUCUAGGGUUUUUAGGAUUUUGGGUGUGAGCCAUUAGAGAUGUCAAACUUUUGGUGCUUGAUUUCCAAGAUCUACAAAGGAAGGGAUUCAAAGAAUAGUUUACUACAACAAUUCAAAGUGUGAUGACAUAGAUCCUUAUAGGUUGCAUGUGCCCUUAAAUGUUAACAGAUUUUCCGCAUGUACCUGCAUUUUAUAACCUUUAAAAUUCAAUUAAUGGUAUUAGAGCCUUAGUGUGUCUAAUGUUGAUUGUACAUGAGAUAAAAUAAGCAAACAAAAUUUCAAAAUUUUGGUCUGUCACGACGUGACAAAAGUCUGAAAUCCUGUUUUUGUGAUCUUUUUGCCUAAUCUAAUUAGUAGGGUUAGUUUUAGUGAUCAUCUGGUUUUGAUUUUGCUGAUAACCGAAUUUUUAGUGCCUUAUAUGAUUAAAUAUAAAACCCGGAAAUUAGGAGAUAACCAUGGAAUAGAUAAUUUUUAAUUAUAAGAUUAAUUAAGCUGAAUCAUCCUUAUGGAUUUAAUAAUACGUUUAAUUAUAAGAUUAAUUAAAGGAUAAUUAUAAAAUCUAGGUUAGAUUUAAAUUGAUUAAUUAAUUAUAGGAUUAAUUUAUAUAGUUAAUAUUUAAACCUUGUGUUUUAAAAUGUUUUAAAAUACACCUUUUAUAUAUAUANNNNNNNNNNNNNNNNNNNNNNNNNNNNNNNNNNNNNNUAGUAAUUGUGAUAUAUGAUUAUUAUAUAUAUAUAUAUAUAUAUAUAUAUAUAUAUAUAUAUAUAUUAAACAUUUAAUACUAUAUGUAUAAGAUAAGUCAGUCGAAUAUCUUGUACGUCUCAUUCAAGAAGCCAUACUAUAAGACGUCUAUAGGGAAAUAGUCAAUAAAAUGACCACUGAAUGUGUGUCUUUAUCAACCACGACUUCGUUGUGUGGUGGAGAGUCGUUAACCGAACAGGUUCGAUAAGACAUAAUUGCGUUAAAAGGAUAAUGUUAUAAAGUACUAGAACCUUCUGAAAUCACACUGUAUUUACUUUAGGAAAAAUGUGAAGAUGUAUGCUAAUCCAUGAAAAUCCACAUCAUUUCUUUUUGAGUCGUUAGUGGAGAAUGUGCAGUUAAUCGGCAUACUAAUUUGGGACUAUAAAUAUGAAAUAAUGAAACAACUUGUGUUUAUAAUUGUUGAUGGAGUGUGAGUGGUUAACCGACACAUCAACCGAAGAUUAAAAAUCGAUUGGGGUUGUUUGAGCGAUUUUGCAUGCUAUUCACAUCUUAAUUGUGAUCCUCAACAUCCCAGUCACAAUUAGUAAGAGCAUAAUUGUAACGACCGAAAAAUACAACCAAUUUUAAAUUUUUCAAAAACAUCUCAAUUCUAAUAAUUCUUUACAAAAAGGUUUGCAAUACAAAACAUUUAUCGUAUUCCCAGAAUCAUAACACCACAAAAUCAUGAGGAGCGGUACGAUCACGCCUUCGCCUUGCCACGAUCUCCUGAAGAACCUGAAAAACAUGAAACCACAACUGUAAGCCCGAAAGCUUAGUGAGAUACCCCCAAAAUACCAACCACAAAUACCAUACACGCAUAACAUGCCAUAACAUAUCCGAUCAUAGAACAGCCAAGCUCUCCGGGUCUACUGUGUGACUGGUCCGCCGCACCGGCCAACAGUCCACAUGGUCCACCCUAUGAGUCCAUCCACAUCCAUCGAGUCUGCAGUGUGAUUGGUCCGCCCGUUCCCGGGCCUUCAAUCCACCUGGUCCACUCUCUGAGUCUACAGUAUGACUGGUCCGCCCGCAUCGGGCCUUCAGUCUGUCUGGUCCACUCUCCGAGCCUUCGGCACGUCUGGUCCGCCCCUACCGGGACCUACAGCCUAUCCGGACCGCUCGCUGGGCCUACGGGACAACCGGUCCGCCCUGGGUAUCUUGGCCUACUGCACACAGCAGGACCCGCCUCAACCCAACUCCAGUCCAAACAUCCAUGUGCACAUAUACAUACAAUCAUCUAACAAUUCACAGAUAACAAGCAGAUC